GACGAACGCUGGCGGCGUGCUUAACACAUGCAAGUCGAACGGUAAGGCCCUUCGGGGUACACGAGUGGCGAACGGGUGAGUAACACGUGGGUGAUCUGCCCUGCACUUCGGGAUAAGCCUGGGAAACUGGGUCUAAUACCGGAUAGGACCAAUGCCUGCAUGGGUGGUGGUGGAAAGCUUUUGCGGUGUAGGAUGGGCCCGCGGCCUAUCAGCUUGUUGGUGGGGUGAUGGCCUACCAAGGCGACGACGGGUAGCCGGCCUGAGAGGGUGACCGGCCACGCUGGGACUGAGAUACGGCCCAGACUCCUACGGGAGGCAGCAGUGGGAAAUAUUGCACAAUGGGCGCAAGCCUGAUGCAGCGACGCCGCGUGAGGGACGACGGCCUUCGGGUUGUAAACCUCUUUCAGCACCGACGAAGCGCAAGUGACGGUAGGUGCAGAAGAAGGACCGGCCAACUACGUGCCAGCCGCCGCAGUAACAC
rnacentral:rRNA from 1 species